rnacentral:rRNA from 1 species
UACGUAGGGACCGAGCGUUGUCCGGAAUCAUUGGGCGUAAAGGGUGCGUAGGCGGCGCGGUAAGUCGGGUGUGAAAUCUCGGGGCUUAACUCCGAAACUGCAUUCGAUACUGCCGUGCUUGAGGACUGGAGAGGAGACUGGAAUUUACGGUGUAGCGGUGAAAUGCGUAGAUAUCGUAAGGAAGACCAGUGGCGAAGGCGGGUCUCUGGACAGUUCCUGACGCUGAGGCACGAAGGCCAGGGGAGCAAACGGG